AUGCUCCCUUCUGCAGCACAUGCACCAAAAUUGGAACAAUACAGAGAAUGUUAACAUGGCGCCUGCACAAGGAUAGCAGGCAGAUUCGUGAAGGACUCCAUAUUUUU
ensembl:snRNA U6 U6 spliceosomal RNA